CGGUACCCUAACCGUGCGAAGGUAGCAUAAUCACUUGUUCUUUAAAUGAGGACUCGUAUCAACGGCAUCACGAGGAUCCUACUGUCUCCCCCCUCUAAUCGGUGAAACUGAUCUCUCCGUGAAGAAGCGGAGAUGUACAUAUAAGACGAGAAGACCCCAUGGAGCUUUAAACCCAACAACACCCGCCCCCCUCCAAAUCCUAUUAUUUACCCGGUGAUUGUUUGUUUGGUUUUAGGUUGGGGUGACCGCGGAGUAUAAGAUAUCCUCCAUGAAAAAAGCUAACUGCCCUUAUUAGAGAAAGACACUUCCAAAAAAUAAUAAAUUAAUUUUAAAUGAUCCGACAUUCGAUCAACGAACCAAGUUACCCUGGGGAUAACAGCGCAAUCCGUCCCGAGAGCCCCUAUCGACAGGCGGGUUUACGACCUCGAUGUUGGAUCAGGGUAUCCCAGUGGUGCAGCAGCUACUAAAGGUUCGUUUGUUCAACGAUUAAAACCCUACGUGA
rnacentral:rRNA from 1 species